GACGAACGCUGGCGGCGUGCUUAACACAUGCAAGUCGAACGAGACGAUUGAAAGCUUGCUUUUGAAAGUCGAGUGGCAAACGGGUGAGUAACGCGUAGACAACCUGCCUUUGAGAUGGGGACAACAGUUCGAAAGGACUGCUAAUACCGAAUGUUGUAUAUUUUCCACAUGGAAGAUAUAUUAAAGAUGGCCUCUAUUUAUAAGCUAUCGCUCAAAGAUGGGUCUGCGUCUGAUUAGCUGGUUGGUGGGGUAACGGCCUACCAAGGCGACGAUAAGUAGCCGGUCAGAGAGGAUGAACGGCGACAUUGGGACUGAGACACGGCCCAGACUCCUACGGGAGGCAGCAGUGGGGAAUCUUCCACAAUGGACGAAAGUCUGAUGGAGCAACGCCGCGUGAGUGAAGAAGGGUUUCGGCUCGUAAAGCUCUGUUGUCGGGGACGAAUGUGCAGUAUUUGAAUAAAGUACUGCAAUGACGGUACCUGACGAGGAAGCCACGGCUAACUACGUGCCAGCCGCCGCAGUAA
rnacentral:rRNA from 1 species